GAUGAACGCUGGCGGCGUGCCUAAUACAUGCAAGUCGAGCGAACGGACGAGAAGCUUGCUGCUCUGAUGUUAGCGGCGGACGGGGGAGUAACACGUGGAUAACCUACCUAUAAGACUGGGAUAACUUCGGGAAACCGUAGCUAAUACCGGAUAAUAUUUUGAACCGCAUGGUUCAAAAGUGAAAGACGGUCUUGCUGUCACUUAUAGAUGGAUCCGCGCUGCAUUAGCUAGUUGGUAAGGUAACGGCUUACCAAGGCGACGAUGCAUAGCCGACCUGAGAGGGUGAUCGGCCACACUGGAACUGAGAAACGGUCCAGACUCCUACGAGAGGCAGCAGUAGGGAAUCUUACGCAAUGGGCGAAAGCCUGACGGAGCAACGCCGCGUGAGUGAUGAAGGUCUUCGGAUCGUAAAACUCUGUUAUUAGGGAAGAACAUAUGUGUAAGUAACUGUGCACAUCUUGACGGUACCUAAUCAGAAAGCCACGGCUAACUACGUG
rnacentral:rRNA from 1 species